GUAGGGAAUAUUGCACAAUGGAGGAAACUCUGAUGCAGCGACGCCGCGUGAGUGAUGAAGGCCUUCGGGUCGUAAAGCUCUGUCGCAGGGGAAUGACACAAUGAAGGUACCCUGUAAGAAAGGAUCGGCUAACUUCGUGCCAGCAGCCGCGGUAAGACGAGGGAUCCUAGCGUUGUUCGGAAUCAUUGGGCGUAAAGCGGAUGUAGGUGGCUAUGUAAGUCAGAUGUGAAAGCCUGGGGCUCAACCCCAGAAGUGCAUUUGAUACUGCGUAGCUUGAGUGUCGGAGAGGUUACUAGAAUUGUUGGUGUAGUGGUGAAAUACGUAGAUAUCAACAGGAAUACCGGAGGCGAAGGCGGGUAACUGGCCGAACACUGACACUGAGAUCCGAAAGCGUGGGGAUCAAACAGGAUUAGAUACCCCAGUAGUCC
rnacentral:rRNA from 1 species